UUGCAACUCAAAUAAAUUAAAUAAACCACAAUAAAAAUAUUCUAUCAAUCAUGAAAUAAUUUUAUCAACAAUUCAAUCUUCAAACUGUCAAUAAAUACUAACUUAAAAUAUUUCAAAUUUAAACAAUUAUUCGAACAAAACAUAACUCAAAUGAUGUCAUUCAGAUUUAAAAUCAAAGCACCACCGCUUUCUUCUAUGCUGCAAUUAAUCAUCUUAAUUUGAAAUUGUUGGGGGCUGAGUCUUUCAUAGAAACACUCAAUAGAAUCAUAAACAUAUUAAAUUCAAACAUAGUAUACUUUAAGCAUAUAUUUUUAUCAUUCAAACUUUGAUGAGUAAGCACAUCGAUGAUCCGGCAACAUAUCAACAUUUGGUGCACUACUACGCCACCAGCUCAUAUUUAAACCCCACAAGGAGUCACAUAUAACAUAUAAUCACAUUUAUACAUGCUGAAAUAUAACAUGAAUUGAAAUAAAGUGGUGUUUGAAUCAACCUCUUUCGAAACAAAUCUUAAGGUUUGAUCACCGUGUUUGUCUCCUUUACUUGAAUUUAAC
rnacentral:lncRNA from 1 species